GACGAACGCUGGCGGCGUGCCUAAUACAUGCAAGUCGAACGAGAGCGACCGGUGCUUGCACUGGUCAAUCUAGUGGCGAACGGGUGAGUAACACGUGGGUAACCUGCCCAUCAGAGGGGGAUAACAUUCGAAACGGAUGCUAAAACCGCAUAGGUCCUUUAACCGCAUGGUUGAAGGAGGAAAAGAGGCGCAAGCUUCUGCUGAUGGAUGGACCCGCGGUGCAUUAGCUAGUUGGUGAGGUAACGGCUCACCAAGGCCGUGAUGCAUAGCCGACCUGAGAGGGUGAUCGGCCACAUUGGGACUGAGACACGGCCCAAACUCCUACGGGAGGCAGCAGUAGGGAAUCUUCCGCAAUGGACGCAAGUCUGACGGAGCAACGCCGCGUGAGUGAAGAAGGUUUUCGGAUCGUAAAACUCUGUUGUUAGAGAAGAACAAGUGCUAGAGUAACUGUUAGCGCCUUGACGGUAUCUAACCAGAAAGCCACGGCUAACUACGUG
rnacentral:rRNA from 1 species